UACGUAGGGUGCGAGCGUUAAUCGGAAUUGCUGGGCGUAAAGUGUGCGCAGGCGGCAAAGCAAGUCGAGUGUGAAAGCCCCGGGCUUAACUUGGGAAUUGCGCUCGAAACUACUUUGCUGGAGUGUGGCAGAGGAAGGUGGAAUUCCACGUGUAGCGGUGAAAUGCGUAGAGAUGUGGAGGAACACCAAUGGCGAAGGCAGCCUUCUGGGCCAACACUGACGCUCAUGCACGAAAGCGUGGGGAGCAAACAGG
rnacentral:rRNA from 1 species